UCCUGUCUGUAUGCUUGGACGAGACCUUUCGUGAGGCGUGCGUGGGCACGCCAUGGUUCGUCGGGGGUGUCCGAUCUUAGCAUGCAGGCGUGAAUGUGUAAAUGCCCGGAUCGAAAGCGUUUUUGUGCGCCGUUCUGCUCUUGAUGUUCAACAGUUAUUUAUCGUUUUGACAAGUUCGUAGCUAUCAGUGAGGACUCGAUCAGUGAGUUUGAGCGCUCGUCGCACCCUGAUUUUGCAACGGUGAUCGUGAUUAGGGUCUGUGUUCCUGGAAUCUUUUCUGGUGACGAAGGUUGGGAUCCGUGUGGUUCGUUUUGAAGCAAGGGUAUCUUAUUUGGUUGCUGCUCUGAGCGAGUUCUGGCGGAGGUGGUUGGAGUUGUUUGUUUAGUUGCUGAAGUGAAUUAGGGUGUGGAGAGUUUCUUCAGAACUUGGAACGCUGAAUCGGAGUUUUCUCGACGUCGGUACUGCUGGUGUUUUCGGGAGGGUCUACAUCCCGUGGUUUAUUAGAAGAAUUGCCCAAUUAUUUUUUCACUGCUUUUCUGUUCGUCUGCCCUUUCUCUGUUCACGUUGUGUGGCGUAAUAAAUCCGUUUUCGAGCGCCACCAUGUUUCAUUUACCCUUUUUCUCGGCUCCUGUCGUCCGUGUCACAAGCAAAGAACCUCAAUGCACAUUGUGUCAGAUGAUAUCCUGCCCCAAGCUUGCUCGUGAUACCGAUGCUGGACUCGUUCUCAGCAAGCAGUGUGCUAUUCACUCUGCCAUUGUGUUCGUGAUCGUUGACUACCUUUGGCGGGUUUUUCAAGACUGAGGUCUUCUGGGCUUUGCAAUCUCAACUCCUUUCUUUUUAGAAGUUUUUGGAGUUACUAUGUGACGCACACUACAUCCCUGGACGGCAUAGACAAGAUGCUUGGAGCAAGUGGAAGGGUUUGAGUGAUGUUCGAGAGAUCCAUCUAGCAUCUUCCACUUGUUGCAGUUUGGUAUUGUCGCACAUCCAAGCUGUGCUGCUACACCGAUCACCCUUCCAGAGUUGUAGAAAUGGCUUUUCUUUCAACAAAGAGGAAUUGGAUGGUGAUAGUCUGAAGAAUUUGAAGAUCGCAACAGAUUAAUUUAAAUUCCACCACCUGUGACACUCUGUAGCUCAUGCUGAAGAUUGAGCUUCCAUGCGGUGUGCACAUUUAAGUGCAGAUAGCCUUACAACUGUGAACCACUGACCAGUCGGAGUGUCGAUCACACUUGUGACAUCACACAUUUCUGGAGUGUUUAAAGCUUCAUGUAUAACUUGAUUCCCCAAUGUUCUCAUGAAACGUGGAAAAUACUCUCUUUACCUGCGAAUAGGCGCGAUACUUCAUUCAGUUCGCUUGCAUUGUUGCUAGGAAGGUUUCCGAAGACCUUGACUUUGUGGACGAGACUUUGCAGAAUUUGGGAAUCAAUUGUGUCAUCAAUUGACAUAUCAAUUGUGUAAUCAGAGUACAUAUCAAUUGUGUAAUCAGAGUACAUAUUUUUGUAAAGGCAAGUCUUGACAAUCUCUUUUGAGUCUUCAGCUAAUUCGAUGCAAAUCAGUCCCUGGGAUGCCAUGUAGAAGAUAAUUUUUUGGUACUGUGAGUUAAGAAUUCCGCAUAUUGUGCCAUAAAUUAAUUCAAAUUCUAGCGUUGGGUCAUUGACAGCAUUGUGUAGAGAAGCUCCCGAUUUUCAUGCUAUGCAGAUGAUCUCAAGGUUGCAAAAUGGAAUUGAGGAGUGAAAGUUUCCGAUUGAUGAGCUUAGAUGUUACACUAGAACCACUUACGUUAGCCUUCUCUGACGAAGUAAGAUGUGCUGUAAGAAUCAUGAAAGGAAUAAACCCUUGUAUACAUGUUUAUUACCUUUUACCAA